rnacentral:misc_RNA from 1 species
AUUUUUAUAGCUGACUCAACACUAAACUUAUGUUUCAACAGUAAACCGUGAAAUUGUCCUGUCUUUUAGCUUGAGAUUUUGUAGGAAUAUGUGGACUUAUUGACUGCACUACCAACGGUCACUCCACUUCCGCCGUAGUAACGCUCAGGGCGGACAUCAGAGCAGCCUGUAGAGACAGACCUGUCCUGGCCAGGCCAACAUUCCAAGCCGAAUUGACCUCAGCCUCUGUCAAGCACUGCGUCAGGAGAUGGAGGUGGCAGAAACAUCUAACCCAUCUUUCAGACGUGUGCUGGUCUUCUGCUUCUUGCUGGUUCCGCUGGUUCGAUGCUCCAAUAAGGUUCUCAAGGAUCCGGGGUUUGAGAUCAAAUGUCAGGAAGUUUACUUGAGAAACAAACUGUCAAGGAUUUCAUGUGCAGCGGAUAAGAACUUAUUUGACGAGAAGUGCACUAUAUGGCGCAGAACUAUUGUAUUUAGAAAAGAUUCCACGACCGACAUUUGUCAAAUUAAGGAUUUGUUCGAUUUAACCAAAUGCGAGACAGAGGAGCCGCUAGAGAGAAGCGUUACCUGUGAACAAAAUGGUAACCAAUGGAUCUACCACUGCUAUUUUAGGGCGACUGGAGAGUACCUAAAUAGUACAGCGUGUUGUACGGUCAGUUGCAAAGGUCACAAAUUUACUCAUGUGAGAAUAAUCACCUCAAACUGUCAGCCUUUCGUAAUUGUGAAUGAAACGUUAACAACCGCACCACCACCACCAGCUAAACCACUCCCACCAAAGGAAGAAUUUCCCCUAUGGGCAGCAAUUCUCAUUGCACUUGGCAUUGCCGGUUUGAUUGCAUUGGUGGCGUUCCUAGUGUGGAGAAAACGUCGGCAGGCCCAAGGUCCCGUACAAGCUCCAGAAGGAGGAGCGGCUCAAGGAGAAGGUGAAGGAGAAGGUGAAGGUGAAGGAGAAGGUGAAGGUGAAGGUGAAGGAGAAGGAGAGGAAGCUGAAGGGGCAAGUGCCGAAGAGUCACAACAACCAGAAGAAGCAUCAGAAGGUGGAGGAGAAGCACCAGCGGAGGAGUAAAGAAACGGAUUUUUAACGAAACAUCGCAACAACCGCUGUGACAAGAAGGGAGGGAGCAGCUCCAUCAUUAGAACAGAAAUGUGAUAAAAACUGAUUUGUUUACACGUACACUUGAUUACGAGUUACCAGCUUGUCGUAAUAGGAUGAUAGUACAGGCAACAACAACAUCUUGUGUGUAUACAUCAAAGGGUAUGUCACAGCGAUGUCCGCAUUGUUUAGCUAGGUCUCAAUGAUAAAGUCUGUAUUGUUUAGUCUCAAUGAUAAAGUCUGUAUUGUUUAGCUAGGUCUCAAUGAUAAAGUCUGUAUUGUUUAGUCUGGUCUCAAUGAUAAACUCUGUAUUGUUUAGCUAGGUCUCAAUGAUAAACUCUGUAUUGCUUAGCUUGGUCUCAAUGAUAAAGUCUAUUGUUUAGCUAGGUCUCAAUGAUAAACUCUGUAUUGCUUUGCUAUGUCUCAAUGAUAAAACCUGUAGUGUUUAGCUAGGUCUGAAGGAUAAACUCUGUAUUGCUUAGCUUGGUCUCAAUGAUAAAGUCUGUAUUGCUUAGCUAGGUCUCAAUGAUAAAGUCUGUAUUGCUUAGCUAGGUCUCAAUGAUAAACUCUGUAUUGCUUAGCUAGGUCUCAAUGAUAAACUCUGUAUUGCUUAGCUAGGUCUCAAUGAUAAACUCUGUAUUGCUUAGCUAGGUCUCAAUGAUAAACUCUGUAUUGCUUAGCUAGGUCUCAAUGAUAAAUGCUUUAUAGUUGAGCACGGUCUUAGUGGUGGAGUGCGUAGUCUGUCAUUGGAAUACAUUAACGCCGCAAUCAGUGUCAAAGCCGCAUUAAACUUUAGAAAGUGUUACAAGUAAACCUCGAUCCGGAUGAAAGAAAGUUUUUUACAUAGGGUUGUAAGCAAAACAAAGUAAUCCACAAAAGUAUGCCGUUUGUGAAAACUGUGAUAUUUGUCAAAAAUCUACAAGCGUACCGCUCUGGCUGUAAUCAUAGGGAGGUAAACAUAUCUCCUCUAGAAAUGUGAGACAAUAUUCUCACUCCCUGUUUAUCAUUUGUGCUGCUGUACUAAUGCACUCCUUCAUCAGAAAUACUUGUAUAACUUAAGUCUAUGCUAACAUAUGUAUUAACUAAAGGUACACUGUUCACACACGUGGCUAACUAUCUAUAUCUAUCCAUACACUAUAUUGUUGAUCAACCCCUGUUAUGCAGUUUAAAAAUGACUUCUGUAUACCACACGGCAGGCCUCUGUCAGAGAGCUCCAGAGUGUUUGAUAUUAAAGUAUACAGAAAGUCCACAAAUA